AGUGAACGCUGGCGGUAGGCCUAACACAUGCAAGUCGAACGGCAGCACAGUAAGAGCUUGCUCUUACGGGUGGCGAGUGGCGGACGGGUGAGGAAUACAUCGGAAUCUACUUUUUCGUGGGGGAUAACGUAGGGAAACUUACGCUAAUACCGCAUACGACCUACGGGUGAAAGCAGGGGAUCUUCGGACCUUGCGCGAUUGAAUGAGCCGAUGUCGGAUUAGCUAGUUGGCAGGGUAAAGGCCCACCAAGGCGACGAUCCGUAGCUGGUCUGAGAGGAUGAUCAGCCACACUGGAACUGAGACACGGUCCAGACGCCUACGGGAGGCAGCAGUGGGGAAUAUUGGACAAUGGGCGCAAGCCUGAUCCAGCCAUACCGCGUGGGUGAAGAAGGCCUUCGGGUUGUAAAGCCCUUUUGUUGGGAAAGAAAAGCAGCAGGUUAAUACCCCGCUGUUCUGACGGUACCCAAAGAAUAAGCACCGGCUAACUUCGUG
rnacentral:rRNA from 1 species